rnacentral:rRNA from 1 species
GUAGGUGGCAAGCGUUGUCCGGAAUUAUUGGGGCGUAAAGCGCGCGCAGGCGGUUUCUUAAGGUCUGAUGUGAAAGCCCACGGGCUCAACCGUGGAGGGUCAUUGGAAACUGGAGAACUUGAGUACAGAAGAGGAAAGCGGAAUUCCACGUGUAGCGGUGAAAUGCGUAGAGAUGUGGAGGAACACCAGUGGCGAAGGCGGCUUUCUGGUCUGUAACUGACGCUGAGGCGCGAAAGCGUGGGGAGCAAACAGGAUUAGAUACCCUGGUAGUCCACGCCGUAAACGAUGAGUGCUAAGUGUUAGGGGGUUUCCGCCCCUUAGUGCUGCAGCUAACGCAUUAAGCACUCCGCCUGGGGAGUACGGCCGCAAAGGCUG